AGUGAACGCUGGCGGUAGGCCUAACACAUGCAAGUCGAACGGCAGCACAGUAAGAGCUUGCUCUUACGGGUGGCGAGUGGCGGACGGGUGAGGAAUACAUCGGAAUCUACUUUUUCGUGGGGGAUAACGUAGGGAAACUUACGCUAAUACCGCAUACGACCUACGGGUGAAAGCAGGGGAUCUUCGGACCUUGCGCGAUUGAAUGAGCCGAUGUCGGAUUAGCUAGUUGGCGGGGUAAGGGCCCACCAAGGCGACGAUCCGUAGCUGGUCUGAGAGGAUGAUCAGCCACACUGGAACUGAGACACGGUCCAGACUCCUACGGGAGGCAGCAGUGGGGAAUAUUGGACAAUGGGCGCAAGCCUGAUCCAGCCAUACCGCGUGGGUGAAGAAGGCCUUCGGGUUGUAAAGCCCUUUUGGUGGGAAAGAAAAGCAGCAGGUUAAUACCCCGCUGUUCUGACGGUACCCAAAGAAUAAGCACCGGCUAACUUCGUG
rnacentral:rRNA from 1 species